AUAUUAUUGCUUAAGCUGUAAUAAAUUAACUACUAUGUGUUGUGAAUAUCUGAGGCCUAAUUGAUUGAUCCAAAACUUAUAUGAUCUCUGGCAAUACCAUACCAACUAACUACUAUACUUGCUUAGGGGGGGUGGAAGUGAUUGUUGGUUUUGGAUACACCACAGAUUUUCAAACCAACACCCAAAGCUUUUGAAUAUUUAUCCAUGUAUUUAAUAGUAAAAUUAUGAGGUUCUAUCUUCUUUUCUUUCUUUUUUAAGGCACUUUUAUGUUGUUUGAUAAUGUGAAUUUUAAUAGACUGUUACGUUACUUCAUUUAACGUCAUCCUCUAAGGUACUUUUUUAACAUGGCCUUUUAUGACAACAAAAGGGUUUUGUGAUUUAUUUGAUUUUAAUGGAUCUUGUUUUACAUUUGUAUUGGAUGGUGUAUAGAUUCCAGAUAUUUCUUUUGUGCUUUAGUUUAGAGUGUGUACAUCUCUUAACGUUCCUUAUGUUUCAUAAAACUGGCUUCAUCGAUUCAUUGUGAAACUUUAUUGCUCUCUGAUCUGUUCAGACAUACACAAAUGAUUUGUACAUUUGCUACUUUUAUUAUCAAAAGUUGUGGAUGAAUAAAAAUAUCAUUCAUUUGAGAACGACAAA